rnacentral:rRNA from 1 species
GACGAACGCUGGCGGCGUGCCUAAUACAUGCAAGUAGAACGCACAGUUUAUACCGUAGCUUGCUACACCAUAGACUGUGAGUUGCGAACGGGUGAGUAACGCGUAGGUAACCUGCCUGGUAGCGGGGGAUAACUAUUGGAAACGAUAGCUAAUACCGCAUAAUAUUGAUUAUUGCAUGAUAAUUGAUUGAAAGAUGCUAUUGCAUCACUACCAGAUGGACCUGCGUUGUAUUAGCUAGUAGGUGAGGUAACGGCUCACCUAGGCGACGAUACAUAGCCGAACUGAGAGGGUGAUUGGCCACACCGGGACUGAGACACGGCACAGACUCCUACGGGAGGCAGCAGUAGGGAAUCUUCGGCAAUGGACGAAAGUCUGACCGAGCAACGCCGCGUGAGUGAAGAAGGUUUUCGGAUCGUAAAGCUCUGUUGUAAGAGAAGAACGGGUGUGAGAGUGGAAAGUUCACACUGUGACGGUAUCUUACCAGAAAGGGACGGCUAACUACGUG